GAUGAACGCUGGCGGCGUGCCUAAUACAUGCAAGUCGAGCGAACGGACGAGAAGCUUGCUUCUCUGAUGUUAGCGGCGGACGGGUGAGUAACACGUGGAUAACCUACCUAUAAGACUGGGAUAACUUCGGGAAACCGGAGCUAAUACCGGAUAAUAUUUUGAACCGCAUGGUUCAAAAGUGAAAGACGGUCUUGCUGUCACUUAUAGAUGGAUCCGGGCUGCAUUAGCUAGUUGGUAAGGUAACGGCUUACCAAGGCAACGAGGCAUAGCCGACCUGAGAGGGUGAUCGGCCACACGGGAACUGAGACACGGUCCAGACUCCUACGGGAGGCAGCAGUAGGGAAUCUUCCGCAAUGGGCGAAAGCCUGACGGAGCAACGCCGCGUGAGUGAUGAAGGUCUUCGGAUCGUAAAACUCUGUUAUUAGGGAAGAACAUAUGUGUAAGUAACUGUGCACAUCUUGACGGUACCUAAUCAGAAAGCCACGGCUAACUACGUG
rnacentral:rRNA from 1 species